rnacentral:rRNA from 1 species
CGAAUGCUGACAUAAGUAACGAUAAAGCGGGUGAAAAGCCCGCUCGCCGGAAGACCAAGGGUUCCUGUCCAACGUUAAUCGGGGCAGGGUGAGUCGACCCCUAAGGCGAGGCCGAAAGGCGUAGUCGAUGGGAAACAGGUUAAUAUUCCUGUACUUGGUGUUACUGCGAAGGGGGGACGGAGAAGGCUAUGUUGGCCGGGCGACGGUUGUCCCGGUUUAAGCGUGUAGGCUGGUUUUCCAGGCAAAUCCGGAAAAUCAAGGCUGAGGCGUGAUGACGAGGCACUACGGUGCUGAAGCAACAAAUGCCCUGCUUCCAGGAAAAGCCUCUAAGCAUCAGGUAACAUUAAAUCGUACCCCAAACCGACACAGGUGGUCAGGUAGAGAAUACCAAGGCGCUUGAGAGAACUCGGGUGAAGGAACUAGGCAAAAUGGUGCCGUAACUUCGGGAGAAGGCACGCUGAUAUGUAGGUGAAGUCCCUCGCGGAUGGAGCUGAAAUCAGUCGAAGAUACCAGCUGGCUGCAACUGUUUAUUAAAAACACAGCACUGUGCAAACACGAAAGUGGACGUAUACGGUGUGACGCCUGCCCGGUGCCGGAAGGUUAAUUGAUGGGGUUAGCGGUAACGCGAAGCUCUUGAUCGAAGCCCCGGUAAACGGCGGCCGUAACUAUAACGGUCCUAAGGUAGCGAAAUUCCUUGUCGGGUAAGUUCCGACCUGCACGAAUGGCGUAAUGAUGGCCAGGCUGUCUCCACCCGAGACUCAGUGAAAUUGAACUCGCUGUGAAGAUGCAGUGUACCCGCGGCAAGACGGAAAGACCCCGUGAACCUUUACUAUAGCUUGACACUGAACAUUGAGCCUUGAUGUGUAGGAUAGGUGGGAGGCUUUGAAGUGUGGACGCCAGUCUGCAUGGAGCCGACCUUGAAAUACCACCCUUUAAUGUUUGAUGUUCUAACGUUGACCCGUAAUCCGGGUUGCGGACAGUGUCUGGUGGGUAGUUUGACUGGGGCGGUCUCCUCCUAAAGAGUAACGGAGGAGCACGAAGGUUGGCUAAUCCUGGUCGGACAUCAGGAGGUUAGUGCAAUGGCAUAAGCCAGCUUGACUGCGAGCGUGACGGCGCGAGCAGGUGCGAAAGCAGGUCAUAGUGAUCCGGUGGUUCUGAAUGGAAGGGCCAUCGCUCAACGGAUAAAAGGUACUCCGGGGAUAACAGGCUGAUACCGCCCAAGAGUUCAUAUCGACGGCGGUGUUUGGCACCUCGAUGUCGGCUCAUCACAUCCUGGGGCUGAAGUAGGUCCCAAGGGUAUGGCUGUUCGCCAUUUAAAGUGGUACGCGAGCUGGGUUUAGAACGUCGUGAGACAGUUCGGUCCCUAUCUGCCGUGGGCGCUGGAGAACUGAGGGGGGCUGCUCCUAGUACGAGAGGACCGGAGUGGACGCAUCACUGGUGUUCGGGUUGUCAUGCCAAUGGCACUGCCCGGUAGCUAAAUGCGGAAGAGAUAAGUGCUGAAAGCAUCUAAGCACGAAACUUGCC